rnacentral:rRNA from 1 species
GACGAACGCUGGCGGCGUGCUUAACACAUGCAAGUCGAACGGAAAGGCCCUGCUUGCAGGGUACUCGAGUGGCGAACGGGUGAGUAACACGUGGGUGAUCUGCCCUUCACUUCGGGAUAAGCCUGGUAAACUGGGUCUAAUACCGGAUAGGAGCCAUUUUUAGUGUGAUGGUUGGAAAGUUUUUUCGGUGUAGGAUGAGCUCGCGGCCUAUCAGCUUGUUGGUGGGGUAAUGGCCUACCAAGGCGGCGACGGGUAGCCGGCCUGAGAGGGUGGACGGCCACAUUGGGACUGAGAUACGGCCCAGACUCCUACGGGAGGCAGCAGUGGGGAAUAUUGCACAAUGGGCGCAAGCCUGAUGCAGCGACGCCGCGUGGGGGAUGACGGCCUUCGGGUUGUAAACUCCUUUCGCUAGGGACGAAGCUUUUUGUGACGGUACCUAGAGAAGAAGCACCGGCUAACUACGUG